rnacentral:rRNA from 1 species
GACGAACGCUGGCGGCGUGCUUAACACAUGCAAGUCGAACGGUAAGGCCCUUCGGGGUACACGAGUGGCGAACGGGUGAGUAACACGUGGGUGAUCUGCCCUGCACUUCGGGAUAAGCCUGGGAAACUGGGUCUAAUACCGGAUAGGACCACUGCCUGCAUGGGUGGUGGUGGAAAGCUUUUGCGGUGUGGGAUGGGCCCGCGGCCUAUCAGCUUGUUGGUGGGGUGAUGGCCUACCAAGGCGACGACGGGUAGCCGGCCUGAGAGGGUGACCGGCCACACUGGGACUGAGAGACGGCCCAGACUCCUACGGGAGGCAGCAGUGGGGAAUAUUGCACAAUGGGCGCAAGGCUGAUGCAGCGGCGCCGCGUGAGGGAUGACGGCCUUCGGGUUGUAAACCUCUUUCAGCACCGACGAAGCGCAAGUGACGGUAGGUGCAGAAGAAGGACCGGCCAACUACGUGCCAGCCGCCGCCGUAA